AUUGAACGCUGGCGGCAUGCCUUACACAUGCAAGUCGAACGGUAACGGGCCUUCGGGUGCCGACGAGUGGCGAACGGGUGAGUAAUGUAUCGGAACGUACCUUUCAGUGGGGGAUAACGUAGCGAAAGUUACGCUAAUACCGCAUAUUCUGUGCGCAGGAAAGCAGGGGAUCGCAAGACCUUGCGCUGAUUGAGCGGCCGAUAUCAGAUUAGCUAGUUGGUGAGGUAAAGGCUCACCAAGGCGACGAUCUGUAGCGGGUCUGAGAGGAUGAUCCGCCACACUGCAACUGGGACACGGUACAGACUCCUACGGGAGGCAGCAGUGGGGAAUUUUGGACAAUGGGGGCAGCCCUGAUCCAGCCAUGCCGCGUGAGUGAAGAAGGCCUUCGGGUUGUAAAGCUCUUUCGGCCGGGAAGAAAUCGCAUGGGCUAAUACCCUGUGCGGAUGACGGUACCGGCAUAAGAAGCACCGGCUAACUACGUGCCAGCCGCCGCGGUAAUAC
rnacentral:rRNA from 1 species